rnacentral:misc_RNA from 1 species
UGAAGAUGAACAAGAAGAAGAAUUUGAAGAUCGACUUGAAUCUGAAAUUGAGGAACAAAAAGAGCAGUUUGAAGAGUCUUAGCUUGGUGAAAAUUUGGUUGUUACGCUUUUAGCUCUAGUGGUUGUGCAUUUUGAAAUCCAAGUUGAUAAGCCUGAGUUGGAAACUUUUUAGCCUCCUACUUUGCCAUCUAGGGUUUUUGUAGGUCAACAAGUGCCAAAG